rnacentral:rRNA from 1 species
CCAGACUCCUACGGGAGGCAGCAGUGAGGAAUAUUGGUCAAUGGCCGGAAGGCUGAACCAGCCAAGCCGCGUGAAGGACGAAGGUGCCAAGCAUUGUAAACUUCUUUUGUCAAGGGACAAAAUCAGGCUCGAGAGCCUGACCGAGGGUACUUGAAGAAAAAGCAUCGGCUAACUCCGUGCCAGCAGCCGCGGUAAUACGUAGGUGGCAAGCGUUGUCCGGAAUUACUGGGUGUAAAGGGAGCGUAGGCGGGAAGCCAAGUCAGCUGUGAAAACUACGGGCUUAACCUGUAGACUGCAGUUGAAACUGGCUUUCUUGAGUGAAGUAGAGGUUGGCGGAAUUCCGAGUGUAGCGGUGAAAUGCGUAGAUAUUCGGAGGAACACCGGUGGCGAAGGCGGCCAACUGGGCUUUAACUGACGCUGAGGCUCGAAAGUGUGGGGAGCAAACAGGAUUAGAUACCCGCGUACU